rnacentral:rRNA from 1 species
CCUACGUGUGGCUGCAGUCGAGAAUUAUUCACAAUGGGGGAAACCCUGAUGGUGCGACGCCGCGUGGGGGAAUGAAGGUCUUCGGAUUGUAAACCCCUGUCAUGUGGGAGCAAAUUAAAAAGAUAGUACCACAAGAGGAAGAGCCGGCUAACUCUGUGCCAGCAGCCGCGGUACUACAGCGGUCUCAAGCGUUGUUCGGAAGCACUGGGCGUAAAGCGUGCGUAGGCUGUUUCGUAAGUCGUGUGUGAAAGGCGCGGGCUCAACCCGCGGACGGCACAUGAUACUGCGAGACUAGAGUAAUGGAGAGGGAACUGGAAUUCUCGGUGGAGCAGUGAAAUGCGUAGAUAUCGAGAGGAACACUAGUGGCGAAGGCGGGUUCCUGGACAUUAACUGACGCUGAGGCACGAAGGCCAGGGGAGCGAACGGGAUUAGAUACCCGGGUAGUC